AUCGAAGCCUCCUGCCAAUUUCCUUUUGACAGGUAUUGUGCAGGGUGGAUGUUGGCCUCCCGUGAGCUCUUUUGUCUCAUGGUUGGUUGAAAAUUGAGACCUUGGUAGGGUGUGCCAUGAUAAAUGGUGGUUGUGUGACCCACGAGACCAAUCAUGUGCUGCUCUAUUGAAUUUGGCCUCUUUUACCCGUAUGCGUUUCUAAACGCUCGUG
rnacentral:misc_RNA from 1 species